UGAAUCGUAGCCAAGGGGUAAGGCAACGGACUUUGACUCCGUCAUUCCGCUGGUUCGAAUCCAGCCGGUUCAACUA
rnacentral:tRNA from 1 species